CUCAAGGGUGCCAACCAACAAGAAAUGACAGGCAUGCUGAAGACCACAAUAGACCUGUUUCACUGGCUAGGUCUACAGAUAAGCUAAAGGAAAUCCACCCUGGAACCAACCCAGCAAUUGGAGUUUAUCGGCACUGACCUAGACUCCAUACAAGUCAAGGCACUAUUACCAAACCACAGAUUCACUACAUUGACCAAUCUUAUUUCCACGGUGACCAUCAGCCCACAAACUUCAGUGAGGACAUGCCUUCAGAUUCUGGGACAUACGGCAGCUACGACUUUCCUAGUAAAGUAUGCCAGACUCCAUAUGCGCUGUCUACAGCACUGGUUGAGCACGGUCUAUGCACCCAGCAAACACUCUCUGAACAGACGUGUGACACUACUACUAAGGGUUAUCCUCUCCCAACAAUGGUGGACACAACCAGGGAAUGUAUGCUCUGGGAUUCCCUUUCAACAAGACCGCCCAUCAGUGACUAUUACAACAGAUGCCUCCCUGAUAGGUUGGGGUGCCCACGUGGGUCACCACAAUGUAGAAGGCAAGUGGUCCGCAAUGGAAACCCGACUGCAUAUCAAUCUCCUGGAACUACACGCGGUACACAAUGCAUGCCGACACUUCCUCCCACUCAUACGAGAAACCUCAAUCUCUAUUCUCACCAAUAAUGUGGCGUGCAUGUUUUACAUCAAUCUUCAAGGGGGAGCUAUGUGUAGAAGCCAUGAACUUAUGGAACUUGUGCAUCCGCAACAACAGAAGCAUCACAGCAUCAUACCUACCAGGAUGCCAAAACACUACAGCCGACAAACUCAGCAGGCACUUCUCACAGGAACACGAGUGGGAAAUCCACAACAGUGUUCUCUGCACGAUAUUUCAAAAAUGGGGUCACUCGGUAAUUGACCUUUUUGCCUCAGCAACAAAUCACAAAUGUCCACUAUUUUGCACUAGGGCAGGCCUGGCAUCAGGAUUGUUAGGGGAUGCCUUCCUCAUCCUGUGGAACGCAUUGCUCAUGUACACCUUCCCAUUGAUCCCACAGAUCAUCCGCAAGAUACGACUUGACAAAGCAUAUAUCCUCAUUGUCCCCCCAUGGCCCAGACUUGGUUUCUGUACCUCUCAUGUCUAGUGGUCUGUGCCCCACAACUGCUGCCUUUACGGACGGACCUCCUGUCUCAGAACAAGGGCCUGAUGCUCCAUCCAGACCCAGCAAAGCUCCAUCUCAAAGCAUGGCUCCUGUGUGGUUCCAACAUGGGAACUGAACUGUUCAGAGAAAGUGAAACAGGUAUUACUAAAUAGCCAUUGCCUCACCACUAGAAAUACUGUCACAAGUGGAGAAGAUUCUCCCUUUGCUGUCAGCAAAAACAGCUGGAUGCGACCAAAGUGCCUCUAUCUAUGAUCCUAGGCUACCUAUUAUGGCUUACCUCAUUUCCUUCAGUUCUAAGUUCUAUUGAAGUCUCCCAUCACGACCCUCCAUGAACAUAUAGAAGGGGCUGCAAUAUUCACUCAUCUGAUUACAUGAUGCUUUCUAGCAAGUAUACAGAACAUGUACUCAGAAGUAUGUCAACCUGCACCACCAUGGGAUCUCAAUCUUGUGCUCCAAUGUCUCACAAGACCACCCUUCAAAUCUCUAGCAACCUACUCGCUCUUACAUAUGUCAAUGAAGGUCGCAUUCCUAGUAGCAAUCACGUCUGUAAGAUGUGUCAGAGAAACAGGAGCAUUGAUGGCUGAACCGCCGUACGCUGUAUUUACCAAAGACAAAAUCAUGUUACGUCCUCACCCAAAAUUGUGCCCAAAGUGGCUACAAACUUUCAUAUUAACCAUACCAUACACUUACUGUAAACAUUUUUAUCUUUCUUAGGCCGAUCUGAUUAGAAGAUUUCGGGGAGCCUUACAGUUUACCUCCCACUAUCAGACCUGGAUUCCAAUAAACCACACACACACACACGAAUAUAAACAAACAACAACACUUUAUUUACUAAGGGACAAGGGAAGAGGAAGGAAAGAGGGGUGGAUUAAUGAUUUUGGAGAUUCAGGGUAACACAAGCACACAUUCAUACACUCUAAAACACAAAGAUGUUCUUCUACCUUUUCAGACGUCAGCGAUGGAGAGGCUGCAGGAUCUGGAUGACCAAAGCCAGCGAUGGACACCAACCAUGGAUGGCAGAUGGAAUAGACAGGAACAUAUCCCUAUCUCAACUCCCACCCUCACCCUAUCUAACUAAUCAGACCAAGUCCACGUGUGUAAGUUUGCUUUCCAAAAAUAACAAACAAAUAAACCCAACUUGAUUAGUAAGUAACUAUUGCAGGCCAAUAGCCAGUGCCAAGAUUGUACCGCACUACGAGAGAGAGCUGGGCACUUGAACCUCUGACAGCUCAAAAGCUCGAGCGCCUGGCUCCUCCCCUCAUUUGUCUUUAUAGGAAGCUGUUGCCGGGCAAGAUCAGAUUCCCACUCUUCCUAUUUUCCUGCCUUUUUUGGUAUAGAGGAACAAGAACCUAACACAAAAUGGAGGCUACCUUGUUCUUUUACUAAACCAAGAUGGCCUUUGAUUUACAGAACUUACCUUAACUAUGUUUACAUCAAUAAUUUGACAAGAUUAAACAAGGUUCAAACUGGAACUAACAUUACCUGCCUUCUAUCCCAAGCCACAUAAGGACUCUCGAGAAGCACCGUUACACAUGCUAGAUAUCAGAUGGGCUGUAGCCUUCUAAUUGGACAGAACUAAACAGUUUCGCAAGUCACCAAGACUAUUUGUCUCUACAGCAGAGUGCUCCAAAGGCUCUACAAUAUCGACACAAACACUCUCCAAAUGGGUCUCUUCCUGUAUUCAAACUUGCUACCACCUGCGUAACAAAGAACCGCCUGUGAGCAUCAGAUCCCACCCAACACGAGCCAUGGUGACAUUGAUUGAUUGCAUUCUUGAAUAAUGUCCCCUUAAUAAACAUUUGUAGAGCUGCAACCUGGACAUCAGAGCACACUUUUGCAAAGCAUUAUGCGAUCAACCAAGACCCUAUCGUUGGCCUCACUGUACUCUCAUCACACACUUAUACAUAACUCCAAACCCCUUACGCCCCUGGUGGGGUACUGCUCUACAGGCACCUAGAGUGGAGCACCCACAGGGACACCACUUGAAGUUACUCACCUUGUACAGUAACGAUGGUUCUUCGAGAUGUGUGUCCCUGUGGGUGCUCCACUACCCACCCUCCUCCCCUCUACUUUGGAGUUCACAUAGCUGAGCUCCGCAGUGGAGAAGGAACGGAGAGGACGGUUGGGGGUGCACAUGCUACAGGAAGUGCCAACGUCUGCACAAGAUGACCCCUGUGCAUGCCCUUCCCACGACUGAGUACUGUUGUGAAAAAUCUCCUAUCUCUGGCGCAGGGACGCACCAACACCUAGAGUGGAGCACUCACAGGAACACACAUCUCGAAGAACUAUCAUUACUGCACAAGUUUCCAGAGUGUUCUUCCCUAGGGAUGAUUUUCAGUGUUUGGCAUGUUAACAUCUGGGCCUGCAAAUUCCUCAUAUUCUCUAGAUGUCUGGAGCAUCUAUAGUUCAUCCUUUCAGCCUAGAACGUGGAAACUGCUUUGACAUCUCUGAAAAGAACAUCACCAUAUCUGCUUUAUAUUUCUUCAUCUUGUUGCAUUUCCUAGGAACAGAUUGAGAAUGUUGUUGUAAUUCUUUCUUCCAUAGUACGGAUUUUAUAUGUAGGACCAGAUCAUGAAAUCCUGGCUCACUGGAAAGCAGUUAUUGAAAUGUGUAGUCCCAUUGACUUCGUGUCCUCAUAUUUGCCAUGUCAAUUGUCUCCUGUGGCCUCAGCCCACUGUGCUGUAUAUGCAACAAAGUUCAUUGAAAAUUUAUCAUAGAAACGUUUGUUUUUAAAUGUGAAUUAGUAUUAUUUGUCACAUUCAUCCUCUGUAAAGACUGGCUCCAGGGUUGGUGGAACAAUUUGUAUAGUGAGGGUGCUGAGAGCCAUUGAACCAAACUGUAAACCCCGUAUAUAAUGGAAACCACUUCAAGACAGAGGGUGCGGCAGCAGCCCCAGUUCCAGCACCUAUGACUGGCUUUCUAAACACUAUAAAUCCAACUAUAUGGGCCUGAAAAGUGAUUGGAAUUGGCAUGUCCAUAUUUAACUGACAUAAUGCAAUUUUUAAGGUCUAAUAACGGAGGAACCAACUUGGGCUAAAAUCCAUCAUAUAUUCCCCUAAAUGUAAUUCUAUCUGUUAAGUCUCUAGAUCUUAAACCCUAAACUUGUCACUAGUCUAGCAAUAAAUAUUGUCCAUCCUGAUCCCCAGGUCGUUGUAACUUGGUGCAGGAAACUCUGCAAGUGAUGGGACAGAAGGAAAAAUGUUCUUGGUAUUUUAUUCCAAGUUGUGGGUGUCUAAAGAGAUAUGACCUGUGAUGGUGCACUCCAUAUGAUGUUAUGAAAAUAUGCUAGUAAGUGUGAUUAUAAUGUAACUGGAAUAUGCUUCAUGCAAAAGGUCUCUUGUAAGGUAUCAUUACAAAGCUUAUAAUCUACUGAGUGCGGUCAUCCUAUUUGUAUAAAUGUAUCACUCUUGUAUCUGAAAAUAGACAUAAGAUAAAACUGAAGUCUUACUGUAAUUAUGCAAACUGUGGGCCAUUAAUGGUGGCUUGGAAUCUUGAUGGCUCCUGUCAUUGUAUAAUUCCCAAAUCUGGACCUUAGCGUCCAAAAUAUGGGUACUAGCAUGAAUUCCCCUAAGCUUAAUUACCAGCUUAGAUCUGAUAGGCUGCCACCAAUCAGGAUUCUGAGUACCUGAUAAAUUCUGGUCUCCCCAAACCUUCCCUGGGGAACCCAAGACCCAAAUUCCUUGAGUCUCACAACAAAGGGAAAUAAACCAUUCCCUUCCCCCUCUUUACCUCCUCCCAGAUCUUUCCCACCCUGGGUACACUAGGAGAUCACCGUGAUUCAAUUCCUUGAAUCACCACAUAGAGAGGAGUGAUACCUUCCCCCAGAGGCAAUCCAGAUUCAAGCUCUGGGAAUCUAAAACAAAGGGAUUCCACCCUUCCCCCCCCCUUCUCCUUCCCUGUUAAGUACAGACUCAAUUCCCUUGAGCCUCAACAAGGAGAAAAAAAUCAGGCAGGUCUUAAAAGCAAAACUUUUAAUA